rnacentral:lncRNA from 1 species
GUUAAGUAAGUAACAGUGAUAUUGAUCUAGGUAAGAGGGAACCUUAGUUUGACGCUUUGUCCUAUUGUUGUUAGGCAAAUUAAAAGGAACCGAAGAAGAAUUGGAAGCUUCAGAGAGAAUAGGAUCAGGAAACAAAGUUUCAGGUUGAUUAUAGAAAGGAGUGUCAGUCGUUGGUGAAUCUCCAAGAUCAAAGAAUGCGGGAAAUGGAGAAUCAGGAACAGGAAGAGGUAGAACAUCUUGACUGAAUAUGUCAGACAUUGAAGGUUGAACAGUUUCAGAGAAAGGAAAGCUAUCUUCAUGAAAAAUCACAUUGCAAGAGAUAGAGAUGGUAUUUGUGUGAAGAU